CCUACGGGAGGCAGCAGUGGGGGAUAUUGCACAAUGGGGGAAACCCUGAUGUAGCGACGCCGCGUGGGUGAAGAAGUAUUUCGGUAUGUAAAGCCCUAUCAGCAGGGAAGAAAGAAGACGGUACCUGACUAAGAAGCCCCGGCUAACUACGUGCCAGCAGCCGCGGUAAUACGUAGGGGGCGAGCGUUAUCCGGAUGCACUGGGGGUAAAGGGAGCGUAGACGGCCGUGCAAGCCAGGAGUGAAAGCCCGGGGCCCAACCCCGGGACUGCUCUUGGAACUGUGCGGCUGGAGUGCGGGAGGGGCAGGCGGAAUGCCUGGUGUAGCGGUGAAAUGCGUAGAUAUCAGGAGGAACACCGGCGGCGAAGGCGGCCUGCUGGACCGCGACUGACGUUGAGGCUCGAAAGCGUGGGGAGCGAACAGGAUUAGAUACCCCAGUAGUC
rnacentral:rRNA from 1 species